AACUCAAAGGAAUUGACGGGGGCCCGCACAAGCGGUGGAGUAUGUGGUUUAAUUCGAUGCAACGCGAAGAACCUUACCUAGGUUUUGACAUCCCUCGAACCCUCCUGAAAGGGAGGGGUGCCCUUCGGGGAGCGGGUGACAGGUGCUGCAUGGCUGUCGUCAGCUCGUGCCGUGAGGUGUUGGGUUAAGUCCCGCAACGAGCGCAACCCUUGUCCUUAGUUGCCAGCGAGUAAUGUCGGGCACUCUAGGGAGACCGCCUCGGUCAACGGGGAGGAAGGUGGGGACGACGUCAAGUCAUCAUGGCCCUUACGCCUAGGGCUACACACGUACUACAAUGGCGGAUACAAAGGGUAGCGAAGCCGCAAGGUGAAGCCAAUCUCAAAAAAUCCGUCCCAGUCCGGAUCGGGGUCUGCAACUCGACCCCGUGAAGUCGGAAUCGCUAGUAAUCGGAGAUCAGCAUGCUCCGGUGAAUACGUUCCCGGGCCUU
rnacentral:rRNA from 1 species